rnacentral:tRNA from 2 species
GGAGGUGUGGCCGAGUGGUUUAAGGCAGCAGUCUUGAAAACUGCCGUAGGGGUGACUCUACCGUGAGUUCGAAUCUCACCGCCUCCGCCA